AGUAAAAAACCGGACCAUAAAAUAUUGAAAACCGAAUUUCAAAUUCUUUCAAUACCGUACCAAACCGAUAGAUAACACUCCCAACUAGAGAGUUUGUGAGUACUACAAUACACACCGCAACCAACUGUCUGAUAUAAAUACAAAAUAAAGCAUAAUGUUAUCAUGCCUGCCAUUGCUGAAUCACUCAAUCGUCAUCCUCAAGAACAUUGCGACGCCUCUGGAUUGUUACUUUCGUUUGCUUAGUGGUUUGGGUGUUAAUCUGUUCAAGCAAUUCUAUAAGUUUCUGCUCAGAUACCUUUUCUGUGAUCUGACCAUAUUGAGCAGCUCGGAGUAUAACAUCUUCCACUCCUCUGGCCUUGUCAGGCUUCACAAGAGCAAUUCGAGCAACUCUGGCCCUUGCUUCAGAAGUCAGAAUCUGAGAAAGCAUCAUUUGCCUUCGCUCAUCAGCCUCCCUUUUAGCAUCAUCUUGGGAUUUCUGCUGGUCAGUGUUUUGUUGAGUUCCCACGCCCUGUUUAGCCAUGAGCUCUUGCAUUCUCCUUUGUCUGAUAGCUUCCAAUUCCGGGUCAGCCAUCUUCUGGGAAGUAACGAAUUUGAGCACUGAGUUGCAGAAAAACGAUAAAAAUUGGCAAAGAAGAAGAAAGAAAAGGUACACAGAGCGUUUAAAAUACGCAGUUCUUUUAUUUUCUCUCGGCACUUGUUAUGUGCG
rnacentral:misc_RNA from 1 species